UACGUAGGCAGCAAGCGUUGUUCGGAAUUACUGGGCGUAAAGCGUGUGUAGGCGGUUGGGUAAGUCUGGUGUGAAAUCUCCUGGCUCAACUGGGAGGGUGCGCCGGAAACUGCCUGGCUAGAGUGCGGAAGAGGAGAGUGGAAUUCCUGGUGUAGCGGUGAAAUGCGCAGAUAUCAGGAAGAACACCAAUGGCGAAGGCAGCUCUCUGGGACGGUACUGACGCUGAGGAGCGAAAGCGUGGGGAGCGAACAGG
rnacentral:rRNA from 1 species